UACGUAGGGGGCUAGCGUUGUCCGGAAUCAUUGGGCGUAAAGAGCGUGUAGGCGGUCCGGUAAGUCUGCCGUGAAAACCUGGGGCUCAACCCCGGGCGUGCGGUGGAUACUGCCGGGCUAGAGGGUGGUAGAGGCGAGUGGAAUUCCUGGCGUAGCGGUGAAAUGCGUAGAUAUUGGGAAGAACACCAGCGGCGAAAGCGCGCGACUGGGCCAUUACUGACACUCAUGGACGAAAGCUAGGGGAGCGAAAGGG
rnacentral:rRNA from 1 species